UACGUAGGGGGCAAGCGUUGUCCGGAAUCAUUGGGCGUAAAGCGUGCGCAGGCGGUUGUGCAAGACAGGUGUGAAAUCCCCGGGCUUAACCUGGGAACUGCACUUGUGACUGCAUGACUGGAGUACGGCAGAGGGGGAUGGAAUUCCGCGUGUAGCAGUGAAAUGCGUAGAUAUGCGGAGGAACACCGAUGGCGAAGGCAGUCCCCUGGGCCUGUACUGACGCUCAUGCACGAAAGCGUGGGGAGCAAACAGG
rnacentral:rRNA from 1 species